rnacentral:rRNA from 1 species
AACGAACGCUGGCGGCAUGCCUAACACAUGCAAGUCGAACGAGACCUUCGGGUCUAGUGGCGCACGGGUGCGUAACGCGUGGGAACCUGCCCUUAGGUUCGGAAUAACUCCCCGAAAGGGGUGCUAAUACCGGAUAAUGUCUUCGGACCAAAGAUUUAUCGCCUUUGGAUGGGCCCGCGUUGGAUUAGCUAGUUGGUAGGGUAAAAGCCUACCAAGGCGACGAUCCAUAGCUGGUCUGAGAGGAUGAUCAGCCACACUGGGACUGAGACACGGCCGAGACUCCUACGUGAGGCAGCAGGGGGGAAUAGUGGACAAUGGGCGAAAGCCUGAUCCAGCAAUGCCGCGUGAGUGAUGAAGGCCUUAGGGUUGUAAAGCUCUUUUACCCGGGAUGAUAAUGACAGUACCGGGAGAAUAAGCUCCGGCUAACUCCGUG